rnacentral:rRNA from 1 species
UCGGAACUGCAUUUGAAACUGGGAGUCUAGAGAUCAGGAGAGGUUAGCGGAAUACCGAGUGUAGAGGUGAAAUUCGUAGAUAUUCGGUGGAACACCAGUGGCGAAGGCGGCUAACUGGACUGAUACUGACGCUGAGGUGCGAAAGUGUGGGGAGCAAACAGGAUUAGAUACCCUGGUAGUCCACACCGUAAACGAUGAGUGCUAGUUGUCUGCAGGCAUGCCUGUAGGUGACGCAGCUAACGCAUUAAGCACUCCGCCUGGGGAGUACGGCCGCAAGGUUAAAACUCAAAGAAAUUGACGGGGGCCCGCACAAGCGGUGGAGCAUGUGGUUUAAUUCGAAGCAACGCGCAGAACCUUACCUACGCUUGACAUGCCCGGACGAUUUCCAGAGAUGGAUCUCUCCCUUCGGGGCCGGUGCACAGGUGCUGCAUGGCUGUCGUCAGCUCGUGUCGUGAGAUGUUGGGUUAAGUCCCGCAACGAGCGCAACCCUCAUCCUUAGUUGCCAUCACGUUUGGGUGGGCACUCUAGGGAAACUGCCGGUGCUAAGCCGGAGGAAGGCGGGGAUGACGUCAAGUCCUCAUGGCCCUUACGCGUAGGGCUACACACGUGCUACAAUGGCGGUGACAAUGGGAUAAUCCCCAAAAACCGUCUCAGUUCGGAUUGUCGGCUGCAACUCGCCGGCAUGAAGUUGGAAUCGCUAGUAAUCGUGGAUCAGCAUGCCACGGUGAAUACGUUCCCGGGCCUUGUACACACCGCCCGUCACACCAUGGGAGUUGGAUCUACCCGAAGAUUGUGAGCUAACUUCGGAGGCAGCAAGCCACGGUAGGUUCAGCGACUGGGGUGAAGUCGUAACAAGGUACCCG